rnacentral:rRNA from 1 species
AAAAGAUGGUUCUGCUAUCACUCUUGGAUGGACCUGCGGUGCAUUAGCUAGUUGGUAAGGUAACGGCUUACCAAGGCAAUGAUGCAUAGCCGAGUUGAGAGACUGAUCGGCCACAUUGGGACUGAGACACGGCCCAAACUCCUACGGGAGGCAGCAGUAGGGAAUCUUCCACAAUGGACGCAAGUCUGAUGGAGCAACGCCGCGUGAGUGAAGAAGGGUUUCGGCUCGUAAAGCUCUGUUGGUAGUGAAGAAAGAUAGAGGUAGUAACUGGCCUUUAUUUGACGGUAAUUACCUAGAAAGUCACGGCUGACUACGUGCCAGCAGCCGCGGUAAUACGUAGGUGGCAAGCGUUGUCCGGAUUUAUUGGGCGUAAAGCGAGUGCAGGCGGUUCAAUAAGUCUGAUGUGAAAGCCUUCGGCUCAACCGGAGAAUUGCAUCAGAAACUGUUGAACUUGAGUGCAGAAGAGGAGAGUGGAACUCCAUGUGUAGCGGUGGAAUGCGUAGAUAUAUGGAAGAACACCAGUGGCGAAGGCGGCUCUCUGGUCUGCAACUGACGCUGAGGCUCGAAAGCAUGGGUAGCGAACAGGAUUAGAUACCCUGGUAGUCCAUGCCGU